rnacentral:rRNA from 1 species
CAGCAGCCGCGGGAAAACGAAGGGGGCUAGCGUUGUUCGGAUUUACUGGGCGUAAAGCGCACGUAGGCGGAUCGAUCAGUCAGGGGUGAAAUCCCAGAGCUCAACUCUGGAACUGCCUUUGAUACUGUCGAUCUGGAGUAUGGAAGAGGUGAGUGGAAUUCCGAGUGUAGAGGUGAAAUUCGUAGAUAUUCGGAGGAACACCAGUGGCGAAGGCGGCUCACUGGUCCAUUACUGACGCUGAGGUGCGAAAGCGUGGGGAGCAAACAGGAUUAGAUACCCCGGUAGUCCCUGUCUCUUAUAA